rnacentral:misc_RNA from 1 species
AAGUCGUAACAAGGUCUCCGUUGGUGAACCAGCGGAGGGAUCAUUACUGAGUUAUUAAAACUCCAAACCCUUUGUGAACCUUACUGUCGUUGCCUCGGCGUGAGCUACGGCUACCCUGUAGUUACCCUAUAGCUACCCUGCAGCUACCCUAUAGUUGACCAGUAGCUACCCUGUAGUUACCCUAUAGCUACCCUGCAGCUACCCUAUAGUUGACAUGUAGCUACCCUGUAGCCGGCUUAUGGCCCGCCGAAGGACCGCUAAACUCUUGUUUUUUUACCACUGUUUCUCUGAAUUGUAAACUUAAAUAAGUUAAAACUUUCAACAACGGAUCUCUUGGUUCUG